AGAAGCUGACACGUGACAUCUCUC
rnacentral:siRNA from 1 species